rnacentral:rRNA from 1 species
GAUGAACGCUGGCGGCGUGCCUAAUACAUGCAAGUCGAGCGAACAGACGAGGAGCUUGCUCCUCUGACGUUAGCGGCGGACGGGUGAGUAACACGUGGAUAACCUACCUAUAAGACUGGGAUAACUUCGGGAAACCGGAGCUAAUACCGGAUAAUAUAUUGAACCGCAUGGUUCAAUAGUGAAAGACGGUUUUGCUGUCACUUAUAGAUGGAUCCGCGCCGCAUUAGCUAGUUGGUAAGGUAACGGCUUACCAAGGCAACGAUGCGUAGCCGACCUGAGAGGGGGAUCGGCCACACUGGAACUGAGACACGGGCCAGACUCCUACGGGAGGCAGCAGUAGGGAAUCUUCCGCAAUGGGCGAAAGCCUGACGGAGCAACGCCGCGUGAGUGAUGAAGGUCUUCGGAUCGUAAAACUCUGUUAUUAGGGAAGAACAAAUGUGUAAGUAACUAUGCACGUCUUGACGGUACCUAAUCAGAAAGCCACGGCUAACUACGUG